AUCAAGAUGAGGUGACAUGUGUGGGGGUAAUAGAGGAGUUUCUCUCUCUGUGUGUGUGUCUCUGCCUGUGUCUACAUGUAAGUAAUUUUGCAAAGCAGGUCCACAUAUACCUUUGCAUCUGUAAUGAAAUGAACAGCAGAGGUUGUAGAUGUCAUCCCGCUGUUGAUCCUUGAAUCUACACAAAUAUAAAAAAGGUACUUCAUUGAAGAUUUUUCGAUGUCUAGCUGUCUCCUGGACUGCUUUGAGUGCAGCGACAGACACACCUCAGAGAACUUGGCAGAGGAACUGUUGAGAGUGGCCAGAGAAUGGCAAGUAGAUGGAAAAGUGGUCUGUUGUGUUAGCGACAAUGCAGCUAACAUAACCAAAGCUAUGAAAAUGUUAAAAUGGACCCAUCAUCCAUGUCUUGCCCACACAAUCAACCUGAUUGUAAGAGAUGCUCUGAAGGUGAUGAAGCCCGCUGUGGACAAAGUGAAAGCAGCUGUGGAAUACUUCCACAGGAGCACAGUAGGUGCUGAAAAGCUAAAGUCUACACAACGCCAGAUGAGGAUGACUGAGCUGAGGCCUAAACAAGACUGCACUGUGGAAUUCAACAUUUAUAUGUUGAAGCGGUUUCUUGAGUCAAAGGAUGCCAUCAUCUCUACCCUGACCAUUGUCAAUGCACCUGUUGAUGCUCUGACCCAAGAGGAAUGGGAGGUGGUGGAGGAGGUGUGCAGAGUCCUGGAACCCUUUGAGCAGGUCACUGUGGAGAUCAGUGGAGAGAGCUAUGUGAGCAGCCUCAAAAAUGAUACUCCUGUUUAAGGGUCUGCUGCGAAUCACAGCCAGCCGCCAGAGAGAAGCAAAUGUAACCACAGGACAUGUGACAGAGUUGAUGGACACACUAUGUUCAUCAAUGGACAGAAAGUUCCACAGAAUGGAAUAUAAUCACGUGCUAUCAGAAACCGCUGCACUUGACCCCAGGUUUAAGAAGUUAGCCUUCAGUGAUGCCAGAGCGAUUGAUGAGGCUCUUCAAAGAAUAACCUCAGCAGCAGGGAGGGACAGCCCCAGCAGUCAGCUGGCUCAGGCACCAGGGCAACAGGAAGAUGAGGGAUCAGAUGGAGCAGAAGCACCAGCAGUAGUGCCACAAACAUCUGCUGUUUGGAUGCUGUUUGACGGCUCGUUCGAGAGGAGAGCAACUGGGGAUGCAGAACAAAGGAAUCCCUCAGCAGAUGCCAUAGUGGAGGUCCGAUCCUAUUUGGAGGAGCCCCUCCUCUGAGCUGGUGGAAGAACAAGGCCUCUGUCUACCCACGGCUUACUUAAGUCAUAACAGGGAGACUCUGCAUUGUGGCCACAUCCGUUCCCUCUGAGAGGGUCUUCUUGAAAACGGGACAAAUAAUUACUGAGAGAAGAAACUGCAUCAGCCCCUCGAAAGUGAGACAGCUUGCAUUUCUGAAUGCAAAUCUCUCAUAAAAGCAAAAUAUGGUCAGCAUUGCUGUGUGCUGCUGGUUAUAACAUGGCAAUAAAGAAGAGGGAGAAAAGAGGGGCCAGUUUAAUGUUUUAAGUGGGAUGCUGCAGUUUUGCACAUUGUUAUUUAUUUUUCUUUGAUAUGGUGC
rnacentral:lncRNA from 1 species